GNGAGGAUAUUGGUCAAUGGGCGCUAGCCUGACCAGCCAUGCCGCGUGCAGGAAGACGGCCCUACGGGUUGUAAACUGCUUUUCUGCGGGAAGAAUUCCGUGUAUUCGUUACAGGGUUGACGGUACCGCAGGAAUAAGCAUCGGCUAACUCCGUGCCAGCAGCCGCGGUAAUACGGAGGAUGCAAGCGUUAUCCGGAUUCAUUGGGUUUAAAGGGUGCGCAGGCGGUGGAGCAAGUCAGUGGUGAAAGCCCGAAGCUCAACUUCGGGAUUGCCAUUGAAACUGUUUCACUUGAGUGUAGUCGAGGACGGCGGAAUGAGUUGUGUAGCGGUGAAAUGCAUAGAUAUAACUCAGAACACCGAUUGCGAAGGCAGCUGUCUAGACUAUAACUGACGCUGAGGCACGAAAGCGUGGGGAGCGAACAGGAUUAGAUACCCUGGUAGCCCACGCAGUAAACGAUGAUCACUCGUUGUUGGCUACUUGGUAGUCAGUGACUAAGGGAAACCGUUAAGUGAUCCACCUGGGGAGUACGUCGGCAACGAUGAAACUCAAAGGAAUUGACGGGGGCCCGCACAAGCGGAGGAACAUGUGGUUAAUUCGAUGAUNCGCGAGGAACCUUACCUGGGCUUAAUGCUGGCUGCAUUCGGGUGAAAGCCUGNUUUCUACGGNACCNCACANGGGCUGAUG
rnacentral:rRNA from 1 species